GGAGUCGCCACUUGAUUUUGAUAAAAUCAAGAAAAAUUUCAAAAGAUUUAAAACAGAUUAAAAUCAAUUGAAAAACAAAGGUUCGAAGUUCAAUGUACAUCCCGAGAAGGUAUUAGGCCCUCGGGAUGUCCGCUAACUUGCGGUUGACCGGCGAUUUGACUAAAUGACUUUUUAAGUAAAAAGAAAAUUUAUUUUAAUAUUUAUUAUUUUAUUUUUUAUUAUUAUUAUUACUAUUUUUUAUUUCUAAAGGAGCUAUUUAAAGGGAUUUAAUUUAAGAAAAACUAAUUUGUGAUAAAAGUAAAUGAAAUGAAAUAAGUAAAUAAAAUAGUAAAAUUUAAAAUAAUAAAACAUGGCUACCCUUUAGGAGAUUAUUUAAAUUAUACCAAAAUACUAAUCAAUUCAAACAAAUAUUAAACAAAGAGAAAAAAUAUUUGAACUCGGGCUUAAUUGCCCAAAUUCAUUCAAUUGGGCUUUAGCCCACCUGUCCUAAUCCAAUAAUUUAGAUUUGGGCCUUUUACCAAUUAACAUCCUAAAAAAAAAAAUAUUUAGCCCCUUGGGCCUAUUAAAAAUCUGCUGCCCUGGCCCAUCUCCUGAAAAGAAAUUAAAAUAUACAAAAUGAUGGCAUACUGUAUAUAUCCAAUCCGUAUUGGACUUUUAAUCCCUGUAUUUGUUCGAAUACAAGUUCUCAUGAUUUACCCUGUAUUUCCCAUAUCGUUUCUGCGUAUUUACCUGUAUCAUUUUUUAAACUUGUUUAACAAUUGUAUAUCGUCGCCAAAAAGAUGUAUACUAAUGUAUAAGGGCUGCACCCUACGUACGUAUUCAUUGCCUAGUCCUGUCUUUUAUUUAAAAUCGGCGUCCCCGUACGUUAACCUGCAAUUCACAUUUUUUUACACAUAUUUAUAUUAUAUCGUGUCUGUAUAUCAGUGUAUACAGGCUGUAUAUCAGCCUGAUUUUCAACUUUCGAAAGUUGAAACUCCUUUUCCGAAGCGUAUCCUCACUGCCACAAACCCAGAUUUCGAGUUCGGAUUUCCUGUACAUUUUCGACAUGUAUACCAGUGUAUAUCAGAUGUAUAUAGCUGGUUUACGGUUCGAGUCCGAGUGGCGGCAUACCAUCUUCUAAAAAGGUUGAAAUUCUUAGUAUAGAUCGAAGUAUCGAUAUAUCUAAAUCUAACUGAGUACGUAUAAUAAGAAUAAGUGCAAAGAAUGUAGAACUGUAGAACUAAAUAAAUGGACCUCCGGGCGGUACAAAGUAAACCUCUUCCGUCUUCAUGCUUUUUUAGAGCAUGUGCCUGCUGUUUUUCCGGAGCUGGUGGAACAGAAGAUUAGUGAAGUAGCCUUUCUUACUGGACAACCGUUAGGUUACUACGGUUCAUGGUCACUGUUCUCGCUGUCAGUAUUUCUUAUGAAUAGUAGGGCACUGAGAGAGAACUUCAAAUCAGGGAAGAGGGUUCUAUUCCGUUUCAGGCACCUUUGUAUGAAACUUCCGCUUCCUUCCUAGGUAUAUUCCUACCCUACCUAUCGAAAUGAAAAAGAAGUCCCCUUUACCAGGCUUAGCACGAAAUCAGCCGGAUCUAGAAUGUAUUGCUAAGGAUCUCUCCCCUGGAGGAUUUCCCCCAUCCUUUCCCCCCCGUGUCUCUCCUCCAGCAUUUCUGUGAGGCGCUCGGCUUGAAAACCCCCCGGAACGCGUGUGUGGAGUUCCCGGUGAAUCUCUUCACCGGUCGGUCAGUUAUGGAAGACUCUGCGAUGUAUAUAGCUGGUUUACAGCUUCAAAAAAAAACAUGCAGUCGAAUUCUGCAAACUGCUACUUCAGCAGCUCUCCAAUGUCGGAUUUCGACCUGUAAAUGGGUCUUAAGACCUCCUAGACUUGAGAUGGGCCGACUCAAAGAUCUUUUAACUCGGAGGAAUGCGGGAGUGGAGUCCGAAACGGACUCGAAUCGAUGUCACAUGUAAUGAAAAAAAAAACAAAAGAAAAGGAUUAACAACAGCCUUAAAUAUUAUCCUUAAAACAAGAUCCUCAACAAAGCAAGCAUUAGGCAAGAACGAGUUCUUUAGACUUUCAGACAUACAUAAGUAUGAAACCUUCGGCAAAUUCGAAGAUAGCAAUAGACAACAACACAUAAACUAUUGUAACUAAAGUAUGCUUUGAAACAAAGGGAAGUCAUGCUUUCAUUAAGACGUAGAAGUCAAAAGAAGAAGAGUUGUCCACAUGAAACCAACAUAUCAUCCCAAGCCUAAGAAAAGAAAAGCAAAUAACAGUGCCAUGGCUUAUUGAAGCAAACCUCAAAACUCCCUAACCAAUUUUUUUUUUUUGAGUUCGAAUAACAAGCUCAAGCAACGUAAGAAACUUAUUAAAGAGAACCAACCAAGAGAGACAAACAUUGGACACCAACAACCCCAAACAACGCAUUAAUUAACCUCACAAAUACGAACUCGAGCCGAGGCCUAUAACGACCAAUGUAUAACGUUACAACAACCUCCAUCAUCACAUGAAUCACGCUUAAUGCUUAGAGUACACAUAGAAUCAACAUUUGAUGAAAGAACUCUUAAAACAGGGCAUGCCAAGCGACUCCAAAGGGACAGCACAUUAAGCAAUGGUAAGAGAACUUUUCAGGGGACACAAAGAAAACUUAAAGUGAAGACUGAAAGGGAGAUAAACUAAACUGAAAAUGCACUGUCCGAACAGUCGAAUUCACAUUAAUGAACACCGGGUGCAGCUAUACAUGUUAACUCAUGAGAGAAAAAUCAUGACACUGCACAUUAUUCAUACUGAGCUGAAAACACCAAGAAACCGAGAGAACAUGGGAACAAACGCCAUAACUAACACUUACUAACAAACCUAAGACGAGGGGAAUGAAAAAAAAAAAAGAGCAUCAUGAAAUAUACAAGCAUAAACAACUUAAAGAACACUCAGCGAAUAGACUCUAUAAGAAAACUAACAAGUCAGUUGUAACACACAUUCGUAUUCAAAUUUCAUAAUCGUCAUCACCAAACGAAUCGUCAGAAGAAGCCAUUUCGAAACGAAAGAAACAAGAAAGUUAUGCGAAGUGGGGGAUUACCUGUCGACGAGCAGCGAAUUGAGACGAUACGAGCAGGUGCGAACUGCUUCUGCCACGAAUGACAACUCGAACACCCAAGCGAGGGAAGGAAGCCGAUGGAUCGAUCAACUCUUCCGAAGUGCGUAAGGAAAGCUGAAGAACUGGACUAUUCUUAUGCUAAAAUGUUAACAAAGUUUCAACCAACGAUUCAACUUAAACUUUCGACCAAAUUUCCAAAAAAUAUCCAACCCAAGUUCUGCUUUUUCCGAAUUCUUCGAUGAAAAUUCUCUAACCCUCUUUCUGAUGAAGAAAAGGGGUAUUUAUAGAGGAGAAGAAUUAGCCCCUUCUUGAAUUCAAAAAAUUUCAAAUUCGCUUUGAGUCAAACCUCACAUGGCCAUCGCGUGCCGGCGAGGAUGACUGCGACGUUUCGCAGACCUGCUUGACAGGGUAUGGGUCUCUGUCGUUGUGUCUUGCUCACGCGAAAAGGAGGAAGGGAGAAGAACGUGGGUUGUUGGCGCGAUUUCUGGGGAGAAUUAUCG
rnacentral:lncRNA from 1 species